rnacentral:rRNA from 1 species
GCACUGACUGCUAUCGGAUUGAUACUAAGCCAUGCGAGUCAUUGUAGUAAUACAAGGCAGACGGCUCAGUAACGCGUAGUCAACCUAACCUAUGGACGGGGAUAAUCUCGGGAAACUGAGCAUAAUACCCGAUAGAACAUUAUGCCUGGAAUGGUUUAUGUUCCAAAUGAUUUAUCGCCGUAGGAUGGGACUGCGGCCUAUCAGUUUGUUGGUGAGGUAAUGGCCCACCAAGACUAUUACAGGUACGGGCUCUGAGAGGAGUAGCCCGGAGAUGGGUACUGAGACACGGACCCAGGCCCUAUGGGGCGCAGCAGGCGAGAAAACUUUGCAAUGUGCGAAAGCACGACAAGGUUAAUCCGAGUGGUUUCUGCUAAAGGAACCUUUUGUCGGUCCUAGAAACACCGAUGAAUAAGGGGUGGGCAAGUUCUGGUGUCAGCCGCCGCGGUAAAACCAGCACCUCAAGUGGUCAGGAUGAUUAUUGGGCCUAAAGCAUCCGUAGCCGGCUCUAUUAGUUUUCGGUUAAAUCUGUACGCUCAACGUACAGGCUGCCGGGAAUACUGUAGAGCUAGGGAGUGGGAGAGGUAGACGGUACUCGGUAGGAAGGGGUAAAAUCCUUUGAUCU